rnacentral:rRNA from 1 species
AUUGAACGCUGGCGGCAUGCCUUACACAUGCAAGUCGAACGGUAACGGGCCUUCGGGUGCCGACGAGUGGCGAACGGGUGAGUAAUGUAUCGGAACGUACCUUUCAGUGGGGGAUAACGUAGCGACAGUUACGCUAAUACCGCAUAUUCUGUGUGCAGGAAAGCAGGGGAUCGCACGACCUUGCGCUGAUUGAGCGGCGGAUAUCAGAGUAGCUAGUGUGGCUAGGUAAAGGCUGACCAAGGCGACGAUCUGUAGCGGGUCUGCGAGGAUGAUCCGCCGCACUGGAACUGAGACAGGAUCCAGACUCCUACGGGAGGGAGCAGUGGGGAAUUAUGGACAAUGGUGGCAACCCUUACCCAGCCGUGCCGCGUGAGUGAAGAAAGCCUUCGGGUUGUAAAGCUCUUUCGGCCUGGAAUAAAUCGUAUCAGCUAAUACCUGGUGCGGAUGACGGUACCGGCAUAAGAAGCACCGGCUAACUACGUGCCAGCAGCCGCCGUAACAC